CCAUGCCUAACAAACUCCUUAUGGAGAAUUAAUUCUUUGAUGAAAGCUUAGAGACCCCGCAUGAAAAUUCUAGCACCAAGAGUUGUGUCGCUUCACACCUUAUUAAAAGGGGAUGCUACAUGGGAUGUGGUGUGCUAUUUUUCAUGGGUCUUUGGGCAUGGAGUCUAGUGAGAAGAAGACAGAAAAUUCUGAAAAAAAUGACAAG
rnacentral:lncRNA from 1 species